AGAGUUUGAUCCUGGCUCAGGACGAACGCUGGCGGCGUGCCUAAUACAUGCAAGUCGAGCGGACAGAAGGGAGCUUGCUCCCGGAUGUUAGCGGCGGACGGGUGAGUAACACGUGGGUAACCUGCCUGUAAGACUGGGAUAACUCCGGGAAACCGGAGCUAAUACCGGAUAGUUCCUUGAACCGCAUGGUUCAAGGAUGAAAGACGGUUUCGGCUGUCACUUACAGAUGGACCCGCGGCGCAUUAGCUAGUUGGUGAGGUAACGGCUCACCAAGGCGACGAUGCGUAGCCGACCUGAGAGGGUGAUCGGCCACACUGGGACUGAGACACGGCCCAGACUCCUACGGGAGGCAGCAGUAGGGAAUCUUCCGCAAUGGACGAAAGUCUGACGGAGCAACGCCGCGUGAGUGAUGAAGGUUUUCGGAUCGUAAAGCUCUGUUGUUAGGGAAGAACAAGUGCAAGAGUAACUGCUUGCACCUUGACGGUACCUAACCAGAAAGCCACGGCUAACUACGUGCCAGCAGCCGCGGUAAUACGUAGGUGGCAAGCGUUGUCCGGAAUUAUUGGGCGUAAAGGGCUCGCAGGCGGUUUCUUAAGUCUGAUGUGAAAGCCCCCGGCUCAACCGGGGAGGGUCAUUGGAAACUGGGAAACUUGAGUGCAGAAGAGGAGAGUGGAAUUCCACGUGUAGCGGUGAAAUGCGUAGAGAUGUGGAGGAACACCAGUGGCGAAGGCGACUCUCUGGUCUGU
rnacentral:rRNA from 1 species